AGAGUUUGAUCAUGGCUCAGAUUGAACGCUGGCGGCAGGCCUAACACAUGCAAGUCGAACCGUAACAGGAAGUGCUUGCACUUCGCUGACGAGUGGCGGACGGGUGAGUAAUGCUUGGGAACUUGCCUUUGCGAGGGGGAUAACAGUUGGAAACGACUGCUAAUACCGCAUAACGUCUACGGACCAAACGGGGCUUCGGCUCCGGCGCAAAGAGAGGCCCAAGUGAGAUUAGCUAGUUGGUAAGGUAAAGGCUUACCAAGGCAACGAUCUCUAGCUGUUCUGAGAGGAAGAUCAGCCACACUGGAACUGAAGACACGGUCCAGACUCCUACGGGAGGCAGCAGUGGGGAAUAUUGCACAAUGGGGGAAACCCUGAUGCAGCCAUGCCGCGUGUGUGAAGAAAGCCUUCGGGUUGUAAAGCACUUUCAGUUGUGAGG
rnacentral:rRNA from 1 species